rnacentral:lncRNA from 1 species
AAUAAGAGUCAUACCACAUCUGAAAUUGAGGCGAAAAAUUUCCAAAAGUAUCUAUUGGAGCACUUAGACCAUCUUGAAAUGCAGGGCAUAUGUCGGCUGAAUGAUCUGAGCCAAAAUAAGUUCCACAAUUUGCAACAGGCCAUUGAUCAUAAGAAAAAGCACGGGUCUCAUAACCCCUUCUAGAAAUAAAAUCCAGUCUAUCACUAAAAUAUGAAAUGUUAGCAGCCAUAAACUAUAUAUAAAAAAAUAAGAGAAAAAUAAAAAAAAA